rnacentral:rRNA from 1 species
AAAGUGGCGCACGGGUGCGUAACGCGUAUGCAACCUACCUUAAUCAGGGGGAUAGCCCGAAGAAAUUCGGAUUAACACCGCAUAAAAACACAGUACAGCAUUGUACAAUGUUCAAAUAUUUAUAGGAUUAAGAUGGGCAUGCGUGUCAUUAGCUAGUUGGCGGGGUAACGGCCCACCAAGGCGACGAUGACUAGGGGAUCUGAGAGGAUGACCCCCCACACUGGUACUGAGACACGGACCAGACUCCUACGGGAGGCAGCAGUAAGGAAUAUUGGUCAAUGGAGGCAACUCUGAACCAGCCAUGCCGCGUGCAGGAAGACAGCCCUCUGGGUCGUAAACUGCUUUUAUUCGGGAAUAAACCUNUUUACGUGUAAANAGCUGAAUGUACCGAAGGAAUAAGGAUCGGCUAACUCCGUGCCAGCAGCCGCGGUAAUACGGAGGAUCCAAGCGUUAUCCGGAUUUAUUGGGUUUAAAGGGUGCGUAGGCGGCUUAUUAAGUCAGGGGUGAAAGACGGUGGCUCAACCAUCGCAGUGCCUUUGAUACUGAUGAGCUUGAAUGAACUAGAGGUAGGCGGAAUGUGACAAGUAGCGGUGAAAUGCAUAGAUAUGUCACAGAACACCGAUUGCGAAGGCAGCUUACUAUGGUUUUAUUGACGCUGAGGCACGAAAGCGUGGGGAUCAAACAGGAUUAGAUACCCUGGUAGUCCACGCCCUAAACGAUGAAUACUCGCUGUUAGCGAUAUACAGUUAGCGGCUAAGCGAAAGCGUUAAGUAUUCCACCUGGGGAGUACGCCCGCAAGGGUGAAACUCAAAGGAAUUGACGGGGGCCCGCACAAGCGGAGGAGCAUGUGGUUUAAUUCGAUGAUACGCGAGGAACCUUACCCGGGCUUGAAAGUUAGUGAAUUAUCCAGAGAUGGAUAAGUGAGCAAUCACACGAAACUAGGUGCUGCAUGGCUGUCGUCAGCUCGUGCCGUGAGGUGUUGGGUUAAGUCCCGCAACGAGCGCAACCCCUAUGUUUAGUUGCCAGCAUGUAANGGUGGGGACUCUAAACAGACUGCCUGUGCAAACAGAGAGGAAGGAGGGGACGACGUCAAGUCAUCAUGGCCCUUACGUCCGGGGCUACACACGUGCUACAAUGGAUGGUACAGAGGGCAGCNAGCUGGCAACAGCAAGCAAAUCUCAAAAAGCCAUUCACAGUUCGGAUAGAGGUCUGCAACUCGACCUCUUGAAGUUGGAUUCGCUAGUAAUCGCGUAUCAGCAAUGACGCGGUGAAUACGUUCCCGGGCCUUGUACACACCGCCCGUCAAGCCAUGGAAGUUGGGGGUACCUAAAGUA